GGUUGUGGCUCAGUGGUAGAGCACUUGCCUAGCAUGCGUGAGGCACUGGGUUCGAUUUCCCCCACAACCA
rnacentral:tRNA from 1 species